AGCAGCAACCAGCUGGCGUCCCCCUUCUGCAAUGUCGAAGCUUUGUUCUUUUGCUCCUUGCAGUAACUCUUGCUGCUGCUCACUGUUUGGGUCUGCGCUACCUUUAUGAGCUGUAACACUCAUCUUGAAGGUCUGCAGGUUCACUCCUGAAGCCAACGAGACUAUGAACCCACCGGGAGGGAGGAACAACUCCGGAUGGAAGGAAAGAACAACUCCAGACACACUGCCUUUGAGAGCUGCAAUGCUCACCAUAAAGGUCUGCAGCUUCACUCCUGAAGCCACCGAGACCACGAAUCCACCAGAAGGAAGAAACUGUGGACACGUCCAAACAUCAGAAGUAACAAACUCCGGACACACCAUCUUUAAGAGCUGUAACACUCACCGCAAGGGUCUGCAGCUUCAUUCUUGAAGUCAGGGAGACCAAGAACCCACCAAUUCUGGACACAAUGUUUGGAGGAUGUUCACUAUCCUGAAAACAGUUGCAUGGAGCCUAAGUUAAAGCCUGAAAAAACAGCUAGGCAUGGUGGCAUGCACCUAUAGUCUGAGCUACUCAGGAGGCUGAAGUGGGAGGAUUGCUUGAGUACAGGAGUUCAAGGCUGCAGUAUGCUAUGAUCACAUCUAUGAACAGCCACUGUAUUCCAGCCUGGGCAACAUAGCUAGACCCUAUCUUAUUUAAAAAAGAAAAGAAAGGAAAAAAAGCUGGAAAAAAAUAAAAGGAAGUGCUGCAUGACACUAUUCAGGGAGAUGAGGUUAAUAGUUUUUAAGCAUGUGGUUUUCAUCCUAUUUUAUACCUUACUAUAAGGUAUAAAAGUAGAAAUAGGGACCUUGUAGAUCCAGUACUGACUUGGCAGAUAAGAGGAGAAAGCAGUCCAGAGGAGAAACCCUACUCAACGAGGGGAAGAUACUGUGCAUUGGCAGUAACAGUAACACAAAACAAGUAUGGAGGAAUAAAGUGUAAAGGGAAGAGGACAGGUACGAAAAUGAUUAAAGUGCUGUGAAGAAGUUAUAGAUCAGACCGGGUGCUGUGGCUCACGCUUGUAAUCCCAGCACUUUGGGAGGCCAAGUCGGGCAGAUCACCUGAGGUCUGGAGUUCGAGACCAGCCUGGCCAACAUGGUGAAACCCCCUCUCUACAAAAAUACAAAAAAUGAGCCAGACGUGGUGGUGCGCGCCUGUAGUUCCAGCCACUUGGGAGCUAGCACCACUGCACUUCAGACUGGGUGAGAGAGCCAGACUCCAUCUCAAAAGAAGAAAAAAAAAAGUUAAAGAUCAUAAUUCCGAAAAAAAGAAAUUAACGAAAAGCUACAGGAAAAAAAUGAGAUGGAAAAGGAAAUGGUUGACAUUCUUUUGUGAAACUGACCUCCUAGCAUUUGAC
rnacentral:lncRNA from 1 species